UUUCAGGUGGGAAAUCUUGCCCGGUCAACUUGACAAAUGAAGACAAAGUGAUCCCUCCAGACUAAUAAUAAUGUUUUGCAACCAUUUUCAAGUCCAGUCAUAGAAUCCCCUACGUUGCUUGUUUUCAGGGCAGUGUGGGUUGCUUCCCCAGGAUACAGGUAGAGGUCACUAAAAGGAUAGUUUUCUACUCAAAGAGCCAGAACUCCAGCCCUUGCCUUCCCCUGCCGUAGCACUCGGGCCGGCCCUCCAGUUACCUGAGUUUGCCUGACUUUAACCAACUCCUCUUCCCUUCCCUCCUCCCUUCUCCAGCGGGCUCUCCUUCCAGCUUCCUCCCGGGCUGCAAUUCCUCUGCCUAGGUGCCUCCGUCCAGCUCCGGCUUCUGGCCCGGAGGCUGCUCAUCUGCCCCUACCCCCGCUGACUUUUGGGAGGAGCAACACCUUUCAGGUCAGCAUUGCUAACCCUAAACUUUCCCCGCCGGAUGCCCGCGAGGCUGCUGCGGCGGCGGCUGCUGCUGAUGGGAGAGUCUCGAGUCCGGCUUUCAUCACAUCACCUGUCUGCGCCCCUUCCCCCUCCCCGCUCUUUUUUUCUUUUCUUUUUAUUUUGACGCAAAUAAUUUGCAUUCUGAGAAUCCCACAAUCAACGCCGAAACUCAUGCUCAAGGAUACAGGUGAAGAUGCCUUUGACAAAGGCGAAUGCGAGCCGAGUGCAGUUUGUAAAAGCUGGGGUUGGGGGCAGUGGUGGAGGCAAAGCACCUUAAGAGUAUUUUUUAGCCCCUCUGAGAAGGGACAUCCGGGCGGGAGGCGGGCGGAUCCCGGGCUUCCCCGCCGGCUGCCGACUCUGGCUCCUGGCUGGCGUUCUCUCCAGGAGCCCGCGCCGGUGGCCCCGCUCUCCCCUUCAGCACGCGGGCCUCGAACCCGCAUCCCGGAGAGCGGCCGCCCGCGCAGCCCCUGCCGCGCGCCGUCGGAGGCGGCCUCAGCUCGCCAUGGGUACUCACUUUUGCCAGGGAGCAAAGUCUGCCACAUCAGUCGAUGAGUACUUCCUGCACGAGGACAUGAAGCUCCAUUGUGUGGAAAGCUGUUUCGCGAACGGUCGGUAAAAUCCAGAAAGAGGGAGAAGGAGUGAGUAAGGCAGAAAGCCCAGCCCAGAAAACCGGCGUCUGGGGAUUUCAGCCUCCGCUCCCCGGUCCCCAGCCCGGUGGCUCUGUGAGAAGAAGCUCAACUCGGUGCACUUGUUCACUCUUUCUUCAUGAGAGGAGGAGUCAGUGUUGCAACAUUUAUGUUCCUUGCUGGAGGCAAAACAGUGAUUUUCUUCAGCAUGCAAAACGUCCAGAGCCUGCCAGUUUUAGAAGGCGACGGAGGUAGUUGGGGGAGCUGGAAUCCUGCGAAGACCUGAAGAAACAACUGAUUCCCCCCAGAUCGGUUUUGCAUGAUUAGGGCCACAUAUCUUUCAUUGAGACUGUACCAGAAAAUAGACAGACAAAACAAUAAUAAAAAUGACUUAGUGAGUUGAAUGACCUCAAAGAUGAUAUUUUUCCAGGCAGCCAAGAUGUGGAGUGUCUCCGUGUCAAAUUUCUUUCCUUAUUUCUGAGUAACAUUGAACAGCAGCUAUAUUUGAGAGGUUCUCCAGGGAUUUGAAUUGCACCUUGCCUGAGGAGUCAGAUAGAAAGGAGCAAAAGAAGAUAGUCAGUGACCUAAGAAGGUUUUGCUUUUUUUUUUUUUUAAUACCCAAAGCGCAAACUUCUAGUGUGCUGUGUUUAUUCUCUGCCAUAUGAAUAUAAUAAACAUUGGCGGUGCCUAAAUAGCCCCACUUCUGUUGUUUUCCACAAAUAAAGAAUUUAUCUUUUCU
rnacentral:lncRNA from 10 species